GUCCGUGUUAAAUGCAGAGGGCGCUGAGAACUCCAGGAACACAGACUGGCGACCCCCCGAACUUUGCCUCUUGAUCAUACAUUCGUGGCCGUGAUAAGCUGCUCGUUUCCAGUCCAUUAUAUCCAUAGACAUAUAAAUAAAUGGACCGCGCUUAGAGAGAGAAAUCAUGAAACCGACAUUGAUGAGAGAGAAAAAAACAGUUGUGGCAAGCAUGGGGGAAACAUAGAUAAGAUACAUAAUAUAUGAAAUAUAAGAUCUUAUAUUAUCUAUGGUUUCAAGUCACCCAGAUUGACGGUAGUCUGUUAUUGUCUAUUGAACAUUUAAACAAUAUUACAGGAUCUAUCCAUUCUGAUUUCUGAUUCAGUGUUGUAAUUAAAUCGAUGAUAAUAUUUAAGAUUUAUAAUUACAAUUUACUAUUCUGAGAGCCAGAGAAUUAAAAAAGAUCUUCUCUACAUCGUGUUUUUCCCGGACCACUUAGAAGAACAUACAGAUUCAGAUCUGUGCAGACACUUAUCUGCUGAAAUUAACUAAUAACUAGAUAAUUUAAAUAGGAGUUUGUGUGUAGCCUAAAUGGAUAA